CAAGGCCUUGCGCUCUUUGAGCGGCCGAUGUCAGAUUAGCUAGUUGGUGAGGUAAAGGCUUACCAAGGCGACGAUCUGUAGCGGGUCUGAGAGGAUGAUCCGCCACACUGGAACUGAGACACGGUCCAGACUCCUACGGGAGGCAGCAGUGGGGAAUUUUGGACAAUGGGGGCAACCCUGAUCCAGCCAUGCCGCGUGAGUGAAGAAGGCCUUCGGGUUGUAAAGCUCUUUCGGCCGGGAAGAAAUCGCAUGGGCCAAUACCCUGUGUGGAUGACGGUACCGGAAUAAGAAGCACCGGCUAACUACGUGCCAGCAGCCGCGGUAAUACGUAGGGUGCGAGCGUUAAUCGGAAUUACUGGGCGUAAAGCGUGCGCAGGCGGUUUUGUAAGACAGGCGUGAAAUCCCCGGGCUUAACCUGGGAACUGCGUUUGUGACUGCAAGGCUAGAGUACGGCAGAGGGGGGUGGAAUUCCACGUGUAGCAGUGAAAUGCGUAGAGAUGUGGAGGAACACCAAUGGCGAAGGCAGCCCCCUGGGUCGAUACUGACGCUCAUGCACGAAAGCGUGGGUAGCAAACAGGAUUAGAUACCCUGGUAGUCCACGCCCUAAACUAUGUCAACUAGGUGUUGGGUGGGUAAAACCAUUUAGUACCGUAGCUAACGCGUGAAGUUGACCGCCUGGGGAGUACGGCCGCAAGGUUAAAACUCAAAGGAAUUGACGGGGACCCGCACAAGCGGUGGAUGAUGUGGAUUAAUUCGAUGCAACGCGAAAAACCUUACCUACCCUUGACAUGCCAGGAACUUGCCAGAGAUGGCUUGGUGCCCGAGAGGGAGCCUGGACACAGGUGCAGCAUGGCUGUCGUCAGCUCGUGUCGUGAGAUGUUGGGUUAAGUCCCGCAACGAGCGCAACCCUUGUCGUUAAUUGCCAUCAUUUAGUUGGGCACUUUAACGAGACUGCCGGUGACAAACCGGAGGAAGGUGGGGAUGACGUCAAGUCCUCAUGGCCCUUAUGGGUAGGGCUUCACACGUCAUACAAUGGUCGGUACAAAGGGUUGCCAAGCCGCGAGGCGGAGCCAAUCCCAGAAAGCCGAUCGUAGUCCGGAUUGCAGGCUGCAACUCGCCUGCAUGAAGUCGGAAUCGCUAGUAAUCGUGGAUCAGCAUGUCGCGGUGAAUACGUUCCCGGGUCUUGUACACACCGCCCGUCACACCAUGGGAGCGGGUUCCGCCAGAAGUAGGUAGCCUAACCGC
rnacentral:rRNA from 1 species